UGGUAACCCUGCCCAGUACUACGUCAUCGUAUCACGCGACGUGAAAAAAAACAUGGCUGACGACGAAAAACUUAGGAGUGCAUUAACGAAUUUGUCCAUGGCCAGUCCACUUUUUUACCUUAUUAAGUUUGAAGACAAACGUUUUCCCGUGGUUGGCUCUAGUUUUAGCAACACAACCUUUAUCAUGAAAUAUUUUGGAGAUGAAGUCGAAAGUGGUGUGAGCUGUGAGGAUGAAUGAUUUUUUUGAAGGACUCAAUUCACUACAAUCAGUGCCUGCUUCCAGAAACGCUCAACUAGCAGGCCAGCGAUUGAAGGAUUUUUUCAGUCAGGCUUCUCAGUCAGUAACUAAGCUGAAAGAAGAAUGCAAGACAGAAAAAGAAUUCAAUUGCAUUGUUGCAAUGGAAGUUUCAAUACCUCUCUCAUCUGGCUGCUGUAUAAUAAACAAAAAGACUGCAGAUGUUUAGGACAAGAGAUUAAAACUGUCAAUUAAAUAUGGAGUGAAAGGACUUGUGAUAGUUCUGGUUUCUACUGAAGACAAAGAAUCAAUGGAAAAACAGCCAAGGACUGCCAAGGGGGAAAAAUCUCCAUCCGAGGGUACCUCACCUGGCAAAGCAAUAGUUGAAGGAAAAAAUGUCCCACAAGACUCGCUAAAUAUCUUGUCCCAGUGCGUUGCAACAAUAAUUCUUGGUUUUCAUGUGACGUAGUCAUAUUCCAAAAUUAGAAAUUAUCCUUCCU